rnacentral:misc_RNA from 1 species
GCCCGUUUGCCCCGCUCAAAAGUCCGUAUUGACACGUGCGCCCUCAUGCGGUCACCAGCGCAGCGCUAAUAAUUUAAAGCUCCAGCUACGCGGCCAUUGAUGACAAAAGAAAUGCUAUCUUUUAUUGCGAUGUCGCGAUACUGGAGGUCUAUCGCAUCAACGGUGCAAAUGGUGCCACGAUGAAAACACCAUGGUGGGCUCAAUCAUUAAUUGGGGUUUGUAAAAUGACCAUUUUGUGAUCAAG